AACGAACGCUGGCGGCAUGCCUAACACAUGCCAGUCGAACGAGACCUUCGGGUCUAGUGGCGCAUGGGUGCGUAACGCGUGGGAACCUGCCCUUAGGUUCGGAAUAACUCCCCGAAAGGGGUGCUAAUACCGGAUAAUGUCCUCGGACCAAAGAUUUAUCGACUUUGGAUGGGCCCGCGUUGGAUUAGCUAGUUGGUAGGGUAAAAGCCUACCAAGGCGACGAUCCAUAGCUGGUCUGAGAGAAUGAUCAGCCACACUGGGACUGAGACACGGCCCAGACUCCUACGCGAGGCAGCAGUGGGGGAUAUUGGACAAUGGGCGAAAGCCUGAUCCAGCAAGGCCGCGUGAGUGAUGAAGGCCUUAGGGAUGUAAAGCUCUUUUACCCGGGAUGAUAAUGACAGUACCGGGAGAAUAAGCUCCGGCUAACUCCGUG
rnacentral:rRNA from 1 species